AUAAAUGUAAAUCUAAAUAUGCAAUAGUUCAAUUAUUGGUCUAUCAAUAUGAAAUUUUCUAUCAGAUUCUCUAAAUUUGACAUUUGUGUUCUGCUCAGUAUUACAUUUUUGACGACAGUUUUGCUUGUAGGACCUGAAUGGCGUGUAGGUUGCUUUGGAUAAAAGCAUCUGCCACAGAAGAGCUAAAGAGUCCAGACUCAUCCCUCCCUUUCCACUCCGAUCGCGCUGCUUCUCUCCCACCAAAGACAGCAGCAAACAUUUGAACAACACUAGUGCAGAAAUGCAAAGCAGAAGAGAGAGAGAGAGUCCUGUGCAGGGAAGCGUGAGAGAGGCAGACGGCUGUGGAUUGGCCAGCCGUCCCCCACAGCUGUCCACCUGCAUUCUGGCACCCGCAGACGCGUACAAAACACAAGAACUAAUUCUGCUACCUGAACUCCAUUAAUUUCCCUUUGCCGGGACAUUCACAUCUCUGACAGUGUAACAUACAGCUUGUCUGCAAAAAGCUGG